rnacentral:tRNA from 1 species
UCCUAGUGGCUUUAGUGGUUAAGAAUUUGGCGUUGUCACUGCUAUGGCUCAGGUUUGAUUCCUGGUCUGGGAA